CGGGAAGAGCUCAAAUUUAAAAUCUGGCGGUGUAUUCCGUCCGAGUUGUAGUCUAGAGAAGCAUCAUCCGUGCUGGACCAUGUACAAGUCUCUUGGAACAGAGCGUCAUAGAGGGUGAGAACCCCGUCC
rnacentral:rRNA from 1 species